UCUUUCUAGAGUCUCAACAUCUUUUUUGUAUCUUGGUGACCAAAACUGGACUCAGUACUCCAAGUGUGGUCUUACCAGUGUCAUAUAAAGUGUACUAACUCUUCUCAUGAUCUUAACACUUCUAUUGAUGUGGCCUACAACCCACAUUGGCCCUUUUGGCAGCUGUAGCACAUGGCUGGCUCAUACUGAAAUGGUUGUUCACUAGGACUCUUAGAUUCCUCUCACAGUUACUGUUGUUGAGCCAGGCACCACCUAUUUUACACCUGUGCACUUGUUUUUUUCUUGUCUAAGUGUAAAAUCUUACAGGAAAGACUAUUUAGGAUCCAAGACUCUAACUAAUACAGGAAUCUAAAUUAAAGGACACGUUCCCAAUAGAAUAAAUUGCUAUCUAGUUUCCUUUUAUUUUUCUUCUGUUUCCAUUUAAAUGUCAUGAAACAAUGAUAUGAUGCCCGCAAAACUCAUUGCCAAAUAUUGAAAUAGGCACUUUCUCAUACUUUUAAAUCAUUUUGGCCCAAACUGAUGAAGAAUGGAAGCAGAAAUAAACAAAUACAGCUUCAUACUAACUGUUAAAAUAUAUAGGAUUUAAAUUAUUGACAUUCAUAGCCAAGCAACAUUAUUUGUCAUAUAUAUAUAUGUCAUAUAUACACACAUACACACAAACACACACACACACACACCUGCUUGUGUUUUGAAUUUGCAGUUUUAUCGUUUUGUUUUAUUUUAUUGCAAAUGCUCCUUCUCUUCCCUGUCGCGGCCAAGAAGAUUAGCAUCUUAACAGCGGCCUAAAAUUAUGCCUAAAUAUUACAUCAAGGUCAUUUUAGCCAUACUGAAAACUUUCUUUCCUAAAAGAGGACCGAAAUACAAAGCUCUGAUGACCUCAUGGAAAAGAUGACCGGGAGGAAAACAAAAUAUUUGGAAGAAAAAGAAUUUCAAAAUCCAGACAGCUGCAGCAGAAAAGCUUUGUCUCACUGCUCAUAUCUGGUGUGUAAUCACCCACCCGGUGUUUGCAUAAGGGUUCAGCCCAGAUUGAAGAAGGAUGGUCCUGUUUAGACAAACAACUUCACAAAGCCAAACAUGCUGAUUUUUUUUUU